rnacentral:rRNA from 1 species
AUAAUUUUUUUUAAAUGCGUUAAAAGACUGCCUAGGUAUUAAUUUUAAUAAGUUGUGAAAUGCAAAAAAUAAAGUUGAUUUAGAUAUGAACUUUAUUGACUAUGAGAAAAAAUUCUUCUUAGUGACUUUAAAAUGAGCAAAGUAAAACAUUUUAUUAGCUCAUAUAAAAAGCAACCGAGAUUUCGUUAGUAGUGGCGAGCGAACGCGAAUUUUAGAUAUAUAAAUUUUAUAUUUUUAAUAAAUUAUCCAGAGAAGGUUUUAGUCCUGUAGUUAAAAAUUUAAAUUUGUUAGAAUAAUAACGUAUUAUGCUAAUAUGUUUAUUGGGGAUCUACCCUUGAAUCUAAUAAAAUUAAUAACCGAUAGUAAACGAGUACCGUGAGGGAAAGGUGAAAGAGUACUUUUUUAGGAUGAAAAGUUUCUAAAAUUUAAUGCAUACAAUCUGUUGAAGCUUUUUUAAAGUGACAGCGUACCUUUUGCAUAAUGGGCCAGUAAGUUUAUGUUUAAAGCGAGUUUAAUUUAAAUUAAAUAGACGAAAUGAAAUUGAGUAUUAACUUAUAUAUAAAGUUUUAAACAUAAGACCCGAAGCUAAGUGAUCUAAUCAUGAACAGGCUGAAAAUUUAUGUGUUCUCACAUGUUGGAGGGCCGAACUCGUGUCUGUAGAAAUAGACUGGGAUGAUUUGUGAUUAGGAGCGAAAGACCAAUCAAACUUAGUUAUAGCCGGUUUUCUGCGAAAUAUAUUUUAGUAUAGUCUGUAAAUUAUUUAAUAUAAGGUAGAGCUCUUUUUAAGUGUGGGGGACUUUUUGUCUUACUUAUCUUUGGAAACCUUCGAAUGUAUAUUUAUUUUUUUAUGGAAUCAGACAAUAGGCGCUAAGGUCUAUUGUCAAAAGGAAAACAGUCCAGAUUAAAGAAUAAGGUUCUAAAUAUAUGUUAAGUGAUAAGAUAGUUAAGAAAUUUUUACAAUUUUAGGGUAGGCUUGGAAGCAGCCAUCUCUUGAAGAAAGCGUAAUAGCUUAGAAAUCUAGUUUCUUAGCAUCGAAAAUUUAUUGGGACUAAACAUAUAACCGAAUUUUUAAAUAUGUUAGACAUAUGGUAGCAGAAUGUUCAAUAUAUUAAAGAAGAUAUUUUGUAAAAAAUAUUGGAAAUAUUUGAAGUAAGCAUACUGGCAUUAGUAGAACAAAACAAUGUUUAAUCAUUGUCGCCGUAAAUCUAAGGUUUCCGAUUGCACACUGUAUGGAAUCAGAAAAAGCGGUCCCUAAGGCAAAUUACAAAAGUAUAAGCUAAUGGGAUAUAAAUAUGUGACGAAUAUAUUAUGUUAUUAACUUUUUAUGAUUUAAAGUAGUAUCUUAUAUGUUUCUGGAAAAAGCAUUUUAUAUAAAACCGUACCUAAUCCGACACAGGUAGAUGGGUAGAAUAUACUAAGGCGAUCAAGAUAAUUAUGUUGAAGGAACUCGGCAAAUUAGCUCUGUAACUUAGGGAAAAGGAGUGACAUUUUUUAGGUAACUAAAAAUUGUUAUCAUUGAAGAGGAAGAAGCGACUGUUUAUCAAAAACACAAGUCUCUGCAAAUUCGAGAGAAGAAGUAUAGAGACUGACACCUGCCCGGUGCUGUAAAGUGAGGUGGAGAUGUUAAGACAUCGAAAUUAAGCUCCAGUAAACGGCGGCUGUAACUCUAACGGUCCAAAGGUAGCGAAAUUCCUUGUCGGGUAAGUUCCGACCUGCAUGAAUGGUGUAACGACUUCUUCACUGUCUCCAGCAUAAUCUUGGUGAAUUUGAAAUAUCCGUGAAGAUGCGGAUUACUUGCGGUUAGACGGUAAGACCCCGUGCACCUUUACUAUGAUUUUAAGUUGUAAAACUUUAUAUUUUGUGUAGAAUAAAUGGGAGCGAAAGCAAUAGUGAAAUACCAUUCUUAAUAUAAAAUUUUACUUAAUUCAAAAAAGAAAACAGCUUAUGAAAGGUAGUUUGACUGGGGCGGUCACCUCCUAAAAAGUAACGGAGGUGUGCAAAGGCAAUUUCAAGUUUUAUAGACUGUAGCGUAUAAUGGCAUAUAAUUGCUUGACUGUGAGAUUGACAAAUCAAACAGAGAUUAAAAGUCGGCCAUAGUGAUCCGGUGAUUCAAUGUGGAAUGGUCAUCGCUCAACGGAUAAAAGGUACGCCGGGGAUAACAGGCUGAUGGUUUCUGAGAGUCCAUAUCGACGAGACCGUUUGGCACCUCGAUGUCGGCUCAUCACAUCCUGGAGCUGAAGUAGGUUCCAAGGGUUCGGCUGUUCGCCGAUUAAAGUGGUACGUGAGCUGGGUUCAGAACGUCGUGAGACAGUUCGGUCCCUAUCUGCCGUAAGUUAAGAAAAUUGAGAGAAUUAAACUCUAGUACGAGAGGACCGAGUUAAGUAAACCAAUGGUGAAUUGAUUGUUAUAUCAGUAGCAUUGUCAAGUAGCUAAGUUUAUAAAAAAUAACCGCUGAAAGCAUAUAAGUGGGAAAUUUUUCUUAAAACAGAUUUUCUAAAUACGUAAAAGAUUAUUACGAAUAAUAGUUUUUAAAUGUAAGAGUAGUAAUAUUUUUAGUUUAAAAAAACUAAUACUGUUGUUUUAAAUGAAUU